GACGAACGCUGGCGGCGUGCCUAAUACAUGCAAGUCGAACGCAGUGGGUACGGGGGAGUAAAACGUGGGUAACCUCCCAUCAGAGGGGAUAACACGUGGUAACAGGUGCUAAACCGAUAUUGAUGGCUGGACCCGGGGUGCAUGAGCUAGUUGGUGAGGUCACGGCUCACCAAGGCCACGAUGCAUAGCCGGCCGGAGAGUGUGAUCGGCCACACGGGGACUUGGACACGGUCAAGACUCCUAGGGGAGUCAGGAGUAGGGAAUCUGGGGCAAUGGACGAAAGUCUGACCGAGCAACGCCGCGUGAGUGAAGAAGGUUUUCGGAUCGUAAAGCUCUGUUGUUAGAGAGGCGGUAUCUAACGAGAAAGCCCCGGCUAACUACGUGCCAGCAGCCGCGGUAAUAC
rnacentral:rRNA from 1 species